AACAACCAAACAAAAAAGAGAAUGAAAAUACAAGGGGGAAGGUAGAGGUAGUGGAAGAUGAAGAGAAGGAAAAUUAGAUGGGAACACAAGUGGAAGAGAAUAAAGACAGGGGGCUUUAGAGAUCAAAAGGCAAUGACCAAUCAAGAGGUCAUGACACUACCUCAAAGAGGCUAACGUGAAGGGAGAAACCCUAAGAGAAAAUAAUAUUACAAAUUAUGUAUGAUAGUCA
rnacentral:lncRNA from 1 species